AAGGGAAACCAAGGCUUAAAGAAGGAAUGUGACUGGCCCAACAGCUAAAAAGCAUCACAGCCAGGAUUCAAAACCAGAGACACUUGCUGCUGACUUGAUUUCAAGGGAACAGGUACACCCAAUCCAGUUAUAACAUCAGACACCGUCCAGGAGGCCUGGGGUAAGCAGUCCUUGCUCCCCAAGGGGUAAAGAGCAGAUCUCCGUUGGAGGCCACAGCAGCCCAGCUCAGUUACUAUAAGCCCUCCGGCAGCACC